rnacentral:rRNA from 1 species
AUUGAACGCUGGCGGCAGGCCUAACACAUGCAAGUCGAGCGGAUGAAGGGAGCUUGCUCCUGGAUUCAGCGGCGGACGGGCGAGUAAUGCCUAGGAAUCUGCCUGGUAGUGGGGGAUAACGUCCGGAAACGGGCGCUAAUACCGCAUACGUCCUGAGGGAGAAAGUGGGGGAUCUUCGGACCUCACGCUAUCAGCUGAGCCUAGGUCGGAUUAGCUAGUUGGUGGGGUAAAGGCCUACCAAGGCGACGAUCCGUAACUGGUCUGAGAGGAUGAUCAGUCACACUGGAACUGAGACACGGUCCAGACUCCUACGGGAGGCAGCAGUGGGGAAUAUUGGACAAUGGGCGAAAGCCUGAUGCAGCCAUGCCGCGUGUGUGAAGAAGGUCUUCGGAUUGUAAAGCACUUUAAGUUGGGAGGAAGGGCAGUAUGUUAAUACCUUGCUGUUUUGACGGUACCAACAGAGUAAGCACCGGCUAACUUCGUG